UACGGAGGGAGCUAGCGUUGUUCGGAAUUACUGGGCGUAAAGCGCACGUAGGCGGCUUUGUAAGUUAGAGGUGAAAGCCCGGAGCUCAACUCCGGAAUUGCCUUUAAGACUGCAUCGCUCGAAUCCAGGAGAGGUGAGUGGAAUUCCGAGUGUAGAGGUGAAAUUCGUAGAUAUUAGGAAGAACACCAGUGGCGAAGGCGGCUUACUGGUCCGGUACUGACGCUGAGGUGCGAAAGCGUGGGGAGCAAACAGG
rnacentral:rRNA from 1 species